UCACAUGUAAGAAAGUGUAAUUUUCUAGAAAAAAGACAUGUAUUUGUCAAAUUAUAAAUCAUAAACAUUAUAUUUUGAAAAGUAUCCCAAAAAUAUAUCUAUCUAAUUUUAAAAAUACAAAAGUUUUCUGAGAUGCAUACUAACUAUAAUAUGGAAAAAAAUAUUGAAAAAAAAAAGAAGAAAACAACAUUAGCAGUUUAAAUUUAGAGGGUACUAUGGACUAGUAUUUAUUUUCUAUAAAAUAUCGAACAUAUAGUUAAGGAGACUAAGUACAAAUUCACCUCUAUAAUAGAGAGAACGAUAAAAUGCUAUGUUUACGUUUAUAUAAAACUAGUUUAAGC
rnacentral:lncRNA from 1 species